GAUGAACGCUGGCGGCGUGCCUAAUACAUGCAAGUCGAGCGAACAGACGAGGAGCUUGCUCCUCUGACGUUAGCGGCGGACGGGUGAGUAACACGUGGAUAACCUACCUAUAAGACUGGGAUAACUUCGGGAAACCGGAGCUAAUACCGGAUAAUAUAUUGAACCGCAUGGUUCAAUAGUGAAAGACGGUUUUGCUGUCACUUAUAGAUGUAUCCGCGCCGCAUUAGCUAGUUGGUAAGGUAACGGCUUACCAAGGCAACGAUGCGUAGCCGAACUGAGAGGGUGAUCGGCCACACUGGAACUGAGACACGGUCCAGACUACUACGGGAGGCAGCAGUAGGGAAUAUUCGGCAAUGGGCGAAAGCCUGAUAGAGCAAUGCCGCGUGAGUGAAGAAGGUCUUCGGAUUGUAAAACACUGUAAGUAGGGAAGAAGAAAAGUAAAAGAAAAGAUUGAUGUUUUGACGUUACCAAAAGAAAAAGCACCGGCUAACUACGUG
rnacentral:rRNA from 1 species